AAGACAAUAGGUGAAAGAAUGAUUGUGUAAAAAAAGAAAUGUAUCGCUAACCUGAAAAUAGGUCCAAAAUGACGUUGAAGAUAAAAAUUCUGAGUUCUUCACUUGACCACUGAUAUUGGAAACUUGCAAAAUAUCUAAGUUAUCUUGGUUUAAUACCAAGAGAUCGACCUUGAUCUUGGCCCAGCUGGUACGUAGUUUCAAGUGCUCUAAAUUUCCUCCCUCUUCAACAGGCGCGCCAGGGAUUAACAUUAAAUAUAAUUAAAUUGUUACUCACUUAUCUAAUUAGUUCAGGUGUGACAUAAAAAUCCAUAUUUCGUGGGAAAUAUUUCUAUUUAUUUAAAUGACACUUAAUAAGUUUUUAUUUUAAAAGUACUGUACAGUACAACAACAGUAAUAUGUUCUAUUAGCAAUUCGAUUUCAAUUCGCGGGGGCCUGAAAUCUUUUAUGCUUAAGAAUUAUAAAGUGGAUUUCUUGGGAAAUUCCAAGGUUGCGUUUCACUUCCGAGUAACGGGCGGAGGUAUGCAGUCUCUGAAUGCCCUCUAGUUUCAACUGUAAUC